CAUCAAGCUCCCUCUGACCCGCGACGCGACCCGACGACCCGAGAACAAGACCCGGUCGGAACUCCUCCGUCCGACCAUAUCUCGCGGCGGACCACCGGCGUUCGCUUCGUCUCGACGACGCCGACGUGCCUCUGGCCACGGAUCAUCCAUGCACGGACUGUGGAGAGAGAUUCGAAGCUUGAAAGGUUUGAACUUUCCGGCGAUGCUUCUGCAAUUUCCGGCGACCUUCGGGGCUGUGUGAGGCUUCUAGUUUCGUUUCUGGCGUCUUGGAAAACCAGUUGAGGUCCGGGGAAGCUUGGUUCCUUGAAUUGGCGUUCGGGGAUGCUUUGGUCCUUGCUGCACUUCGGACUAGGAUGCGCUCUGCCCUCUGUUCGAAAUUCACCAAGCACAGUGGCUGCAAGUUUGCUUGCUCACGAUAUCUGUUAGCUCAGAUUAAGCUACUCUGAUUGUCAAAGGUAAAAUUCGAGUUCUUGGGGUGAAACUGAGCUUUUGGUGAUUUAUUGCCGAAUGGUUGGAUGGGAGUUGAAUUGGAUGUUUGAUUUAGAAUUGGUUUAUACUUAUGUGUUGGCUGGGAAUGGAAUGAUGUUGUGAUUGUGAUUUUGGACCAAGUACAUGCUGUGAUGUUUGCUGGGAUUGAACUAUAGAUUUAAUCCUUGCUUGUGUUAGUUUUGAAUGGUGAAGUUGUUCUUGUUACUACUUAA